AAGUCGUAACAAGGUCUCCGUUGGUGAACCAGCGGAGGGAUCAUUACCGAGUUUACAAACUCCCAAACCCUUUGUGAACCUUACCGUAUCGUUGCUUCGGCGGGACCGCCCCGGCGCCCUCGGGCCCGGAACCAGGCGCCCGCCGGAGGCCCCAAACCCUCAUGUCUUUAGUGGUUUUCUCCUCUGAGUGACACAUAAACAAAUAAAUAAAAACUUUCAACAACGGAUCUCUUGGUUCUG
rnacentral:misc_RNA from 1 species